rnacentral:rRNA from 1 species
AUGGUGGAACUGUGGUCCUCAUGGGCGCCCUUGGAAAUCAAAAUCUUUGCCUGGCUCGCGUUGCACAAUCGCCUAUGGACGGCUGAUAGACUUGCCAAGCGUAACUCGCAACAUUCCCUGGAGUGUGUGCUCCGCUGCCAAGAGAGGAGUCUGCGGACCAUCUUGUUCUUGGUUGCCCCUUUGCUCGUCAGGUCUGGUUCUCUGUGUUGCUGCCAUGGAGACUGCACAGAUUCGCCCCGCAUGCUGAUGAUGAAACCAAGAACUGGUGGCCUCGGCUCAGCUCCUUGGUUUGCCGCACCUUCAGGACGAUAUGGCUGGAGAGGAACGACCGCGUAUUUGAAAAGAAUCGCGGCCGUGGAAUCGGUUGUGACACUCAGAAUUAGGACUGAAUUUGCCCUUUGGUUGCUAGCUAGGACUAGUGGAUCCGUGGAUGUUGAUAUGAGGUGGGUGCUCGCCAAAGGCGUUGCACGUUAUGUACAGAGCUGUACAGGAGUUUGUAUUGUUUUCUCCCCCCUAUCUUAA